ACAUCUACACAAGUACUAUGAUUCACUUCUGAUCAUAUACAUUGCAUUUAACCUCAUAUUCAUAAUUCUUUACAUUGCUUGCAUAAUUUCUUUUACAUCACAUUUGCUCAAAAUAAACUUUACAAUAUUUCUUUCUUUGCUUUAUACAUCAACAUCUUAAAUCAUCAAAUACAAAAGAUGAUAAAAGGGUAUACUACUAACAAAAUAUAAAGCCCGACUCGGGUGGCCACUGUCUA
rnacentral:lncRNA from 1 species